rnacentral:rRNA from 1 species
GCAAGUCGAAUGGGUUUAGACCCAUGGCAGACGAGGUAGGAACACGUAGGUACGUGCCCAAGAGUCAGGGAUACUCCGGCGAAAGUCGGCAUAAUACUUGAUGGUCCCUUCGGGGUAAAGAUUUAUCGCUCUUGGAACGGCCUGCGGUCUAUCAGCUUGUUGGUAAGGUAACGGCUUACCAAGGCUACGACGGAUAGGGGAGGUGAGAGCCUGACC